CCUACGGGAGGCAGCAGUAGGGAAUCUUCCGCNANGGNNGAAAGUCUGACGGAGCNACGCCGCGUGAGUGAUGAAGGCUUUCGGGUCGUAAAACUCUGUUGUUAGGGAAGAACAAGUGCUAGUUGAAUAAGCUGGCACCUUGACGGUACCUAACCAGAAGGCCACGGCUAACUNCGNGCCAGCGGCCGC
rnacentral:rRNA from 1 species